ACGGUAGGUAAUACGUAAUACUCCUUUUCCUGCAUGGGAGAAGGAGGAAAGGCGGAGCAAUCUGUCACUUGUGGAUGGGCCUGCGGCGCAUUAGCUAGUUGGUGGGGUAAAGGCCUACCAAGGCGACGAUGCGUAGCCGAUCUGAGAGGGUGAUCGGCCACACUGGGACUGAGACACGGCCCAGACUCCUACGGGAGGCAGCAGUAGGGAAUCUUCCGCAAUGGGCGAAAGCCUGACGGAGCAACGCCGCGUGAGUGAUGAAGGUUUUCGGAUCGUAAAGCUCUGUUGCCAGGGAAGAACGUUUGGUAGAGUAACUGCUCUUGAAGUGACGGUACCUGAGAAGAAAGCCCCGGCUAACUACGUGCCAGCAGCCGCGGUAAUACCGUAGGGGGCAAGCGUUGUCCGGAAUUAUUGGGCGUAAAGCGCGCGCAG
rnacentral:rRNA from 1 species